ACUACACUAGGGGCUGGUUAACGCUCUUGUGUGCAACAGAACCUCAAACACAUCAUAACACACCUUUGGAGAAUCCUUACAAGAAUGCCAAGGUAACAAUUAUCUCUGACCACACUACCUCAGCAAAAAACCAAGAAGAAAAAAUAAAAUAUUCUUCAACCCUUUUCAGGGACAGAAAGCAUCAUUUCAAAAGUCCAAGAAGGGGAGCAAAACUUCUGACCUGAGACAUCGAAGCAGAUAAAAAGCCUCUACAUAAAAUGUAUCACUACAGCUAGAGGGCAGUUUUGCCUUUCUUCCAUUCAAUUAUUCAGUCUCUCAUGUUCCUAAGUGCCAGCCCAGAACCACGGAAUGUGAAGAAACACAAAACUCACUCCUCUGCAUCAGUGAAUUGAUUGUGUGGUGGGGAUAUAAGUCUGCAUGUGACUGACAGGUCCCCAACGUGGUGCCAAGUCAAUCUAAACCAGAGAGAAUUUCUGGCCAGGCCAAGCAGAGAUUUCCUGGAUGAAGUCUCCGAAGAUCGAUUUGCUAAACAUUAAACAUUACUGGUUUUCCAAAAA